AUGAUGAUGGAUGGAUGGAUGAUGGAUGGAUGAUGGACGAUGGAUGGAUAUUUGUAUCCAGGUUUCCACACAAAAUGGAUCAAGCUGGUCAGAACUUCCCCCUGCAGAGGGAAGAGUUCUGACCAACCUGUACUGGACCCAGUCAGAACCGGGUCAGAACCGGGUCAGAACCCUCUGCAGACGGAGCGCCUGGCGUUCAGCACAUGAAUCUCUGUAAGACAUUUUCUAGAACACGAUCUGCUGAGUCAGCGUCUUAGCGGCUCUGGCCUGAUGCAGGAUGUUCUCCCUCACACUGUGACUCAGCACUCUUCCUCAUCAUCACCCUCCUCUUCCUCCUGAUCUCCAUAGCAGCAGAGUUUCAGCUGCAGAACGCUCAGCAGCUUUUAUUAGAUCUAGAAGUACCAGAGACAUCUUCAUCUUCAUCUUUGUCUUCGUCUUCAUUGUGAUGUGUUUUUCCAUCUGGGGAAGAAGCAGCAUUUAUGGCUCCAUACUGGGAACGUGGCAGUGGAUCAGAGUGGGAAGUGGAUCUGGAUCAACUUGUUCCCUCAGGAAAAACACAAACAUCUGAUAAAGUUUUUAUUUCUCAGGGAUUCAAACCGGCCACCAUGUUGCAUCUGAUGUGAUCCAGAAAAAGCUGAACAAUAUUCAGCUAAUGUCAAAUAUUCAUUAUGAACAGUUCAGUCUGAACAAUCUGCUACAGAGAGGACAGAUGGGCAGAAGGACCGUCCACCAUGGAGCGUCCUCCACCAGCUGGAUCCUGAUUGGCUCCUGUUUCAGUCUCACUUCCUCUGCAGAAAACCAGCUGGAUUACAACGAGAUUGAGAACCAGUAGAAGAGAGAUUGGACUGCAGGAGGAAGGUGGAGAACCUAGAGAGAACCCACUGGGAGACUCCAUGCAGGAAGGUUGGGAUUCAAACCCAAAACCUUCUCAGUGGUUCAGCCACCAGUUCAGAGCUGAAGGAAGAAAACUUGGAGGAAAAUUCAUCCAGAAACUGAACAACAUCAUCAUGUUAAAGAGUUCAGAUCCAAUCCAGUGAACGGAAGGACGAGCUGCUGAAGAUCGAAAGAACCAGAGAGUCACUGGUCCGUCUGUCUGUCCGUCCGUCCGUUCGUCCAUGGUGGAUGGACAAGUUAAGGGUGAAAAUCGAUAAAAUAACUUAUUCUGACUGGAAAAGCUUUUAAUUAUGACAGAAUUAAAUGCAUUUUUGCUUUUUUUACAUACAAAAGUUCUGAACCAGAACCUUUGUAUUCACUUGUUUCUGGUACGCCUGUAAAUCUGACGCACAGCUACAUCGGCUAACAGCAACGCUGUAGCAGCUUCUCUGGUUAAUUUCUGCUUCUUUUCUCCAGAAAAAACUGUUAUUGUGUUCAAGUUGUGCUAAAC